rnacentral:rRNA from 1 species
UGCUCGAAAGAGAGCCGUAACACAGGUGCUGCAUGGCUGUCGUCAGCUCGUGUCGUGAGACUGUUGGGUUAAGUCCCGCAACGAGCGCAACCCUUGUCAUUAGUUGCUACAUUCAGUUGGGCACUCUAAUGGAGACUGCCGGUGACAAGCCGGAGGAAGGUGGGGAUGACGUCAAGUCCUCAUGGCCCUUAUAGGUGGGGCUACACACGUCAUACAAUGGCUGGUACAAAGGGUUGCCAACCCGCGAGGGGGAGCCAAUCCCAUAAAGCCAGUCGUAGUCCGGAUCGUAGUCUGCAACUCGACUACGUGAAGUCGGAAUCGCUAGUAAUCGUGGAUCAGAAUGUCACGGUGAAUACGUUCCCGGGUCUU